AGUGAACGCUGGCGGUAGGCCUAACACAUGCAAGUCGAACGGCAGCACAGUAAGAGCUUGCUCUUACGGGUGGCGAGUGGCGGACGGGUGAGGAAUACAUCGGAAUCUACUUUUUCGUGGGGGAUAACGUAGGGAAACUUACGCUAAUACCGCAUACGACCUACGGGUGAAAGCAGGGGAUCUUCGGACCUUGCGCGAUUGAAUGAGCCGAUGUCGGAUUAGCUAGUUGGCGGGGUAAAGGCCCACCAAGGCGACGAUCCGUAGCUGGUCUGAGAGGAUGAUCAGCCACACUGGAACUGAGACACGGUCCAGACUCCUACGGGAGGCAGCAGUGGGGAAUAUUGGACAAUGGGCGCAAGCCUGAUGCAGCAAUACCGCGUGGGUGAAGAAGGUCUUCGGGUUGUAAAGCUCUUUUGUUGGGAAAGAAAAGCAGCAGGUUAAUACCCCGAUGUUUUGACGGUACCCAAAGAAUAAGCACCGGCUAACUUCGUG
rnacentral:rRNA from 1 species